rnacentral:lncRNA from 1 species
GCUUGGACAGCCAAGCCAGUCUCCCCAGUCUCUUCUUACAAGCGUUCCCAUCUCUUAAGUUGGAGUCCCUCACCCCUUAUCUGCUCCCACUAGCCCGUACCAUUCAGGAUUAGAGGUAUUAGGUUUCCAGGACACCAGAAACAAAUCUCUCUCAUCACCAGAAUCCCGAAUCCACUCAAUCUCUCGGAUGUCAGGAGACGAGGAGGAGGGAGAUGGAGUUCCAAUUUAAAAGAAAACUGAGAGAAACCACUGGAGAGAAGUUGGUGCCACAGUCUUUGUGAGAUCAAGGUUCCUGGUUUCCAGUUCUCUUCCCAGUGCACUUCUGGAACGAUAAAAGAUAGAGGAAGGACCAAAUCCAAUAAUGACUGAACAACUGGCCAAGGGCAGUUUGAUUACAGCCGUUUCCAUCUCUCAUAUACCAACACAUCCUGUGCCCUCCUUGAGGAUGCGUGCAAAUAUACUUCCAUAAAAUUUUUUCCUUCUAAAAUUUUAAGAAAC